GAUGAACGCUGGCGGCGUGCCUAAUACAUGCAAGUCGAGCGAACGGACGAGAAGCUUGCUUCUCUGAUGUUAGCGGCGGACGGGUGAGUAACACGUGGAUAACCUACCUAUAAGACUGGGAUAACUUCGGGAAACCGGAGCUAAUACCGGAUGAUAUUUUGAACCGCAUGGUUCAAAAGUGAAAGACGGUCUUGCUGUCACUUAUAGAUGCAUCCGCGCUGCAUUAGCUAGUUGGUAAGGUAACGGCUUACCAAGGCAACGAUGCAUAGCCGACCUGAGAGGGUGAUCGGCCACACUGGAACUGAGACACGGUCCAGACUCCUACGGGAGGCAGCAGUAGGGAAGCUUCCGCAAUGGGCGAAAGCCUGACGGAGCAACGCCGCGUGAGUGAUGAAGGUCUUCGGAUCGUAAAACUCUGUUAUUAGGGAAGAACAUAUGUGUAAGUAACUGUGCACAUCUUGACGGUACCUAAUCAGAAAGCCACGGCUAACUACGUG
rnacentral:rRNA from 1 species